AUUGAACGCUGGCGGCAGGCCUAACACAUGCAAGUCGAGCGAGCGGCGGACGGGUGGGUAAUGUAUGGGGACUGCCUGAUGGCGGGGGAUGACUACGGGAAACCGUAGCUAAUACCGCAUACCGUCAGUUAACCCAUAUGGGAUUAGGUUGUAGGUGAGGUAACGGCUCACCUAGGCGACGAUCCCUAGCUGGUCUGAGAGGAUGAUCAGCCACACUGGGACUGAGACACGGCCCAGACUCCUACGGAGGCAGCAGUGGGGAAUAUUGGACAAUGGGCGCAAGCCUGACGGAGCCAUGCCGCGUGUAUGAAGAAGGCUUUCGGGUUGUAAAGCACUUUCAGUAGGGAGGCGUUACCGACAGAAGAAGCAACGGCUAACUCCGUGCCAGCAGCCGCGGUAAUAC
rnacentral:rRNA from 1 species